UACGUAGGGUGCAAGCGUUGUCCGGAAUUAUUGGGCGUAAAGAGCUCGUAGGCGGUCUGUCGCGUCUGCUGUGAAAACUCAGGGCUUAACCCUGGACCUGCAUCGGGUACGGGCAGACUAGAGUGCGGUAGGGGAGAUCGGAAUUCCUGGUGUAGCGGUGAAAUGCGCAGAUAUCAGGAGGAACACCGGUGGCGAAGGCGGAUCUCUGGGCCGUAACUGACGCUGAGGAGCGAAAGCAUGGGGAGCGAACAGG
rnacentral:rRNA from 1 species